rnacentral:misc_RNA from 1 species
GAUGAAGAACGUAGCGAAAUGCGAUACGUAAUGUGAGUUGCAGAAUUCAGUGAAUCAUCGAAUCUUUGAACGCACAUUGCGCCCUGUGGUAUUCCGCAGGGCAUGCCUGUUCGAGCGUCAUUUCAACCCUCAAGCUCUGCUUGGUGUUGGGCCCUGCCCGCUGCGGCCGGCCCUAAAGACAGUGGCGGUGCCGCCUGGCCCUGAGCGUAGUACAUCUCUCGCUCCAGUGCCCGGUGGUAGCCUGCCAGAACCCCAACUCUCGUGGUUGACCUCGGAUCAGGUAGGGAUACCCGCUGAACUUAAGCAUAUCAAUAAGCGGAGGA